rnacentral:tRNA from 1 species
GGAUUGUGGCUCAGCGGUAGAGCACUUGCCUAGCACGUGCAAGGCCCUGGGUAUGAUCCUCAGCACCA